rnacentral:tRNA from 1 species
GGGGUUGUGGCUCAGUGAUAGAGCGCUUGCCUAGCAUGUGUGAGGCCCUGAGUUCAAUUCUCAGCACCA